GACGAACGCUGGCGGCGUGCUUAACACAUGCAAGUCGAACGGAAAGGCCCUGCUUUUGUGGGGUGCUCGAGUGGCGAACGGGUGAGUAACACGUGAGUAACCUGCCCUUGACUUUGGGAUAACUUCAGGAAACUGGGGCUAAUACCGGAUAGGAGCUCCUGCUGCAUGGUGGGGGUUGGAAAGUCUCGGCGGUUGGGGAUGGACUCGCGGCUUAUCAGCUUGUUGGUGGGGUAGUGGCUUACCAAGGCUUUGACGGGUAGCCGGCCUGAGAGGGUGACCGGCGACAUUGGUACUGAGGUACGGCCCAGACUGCUACGGGAGGCAGCAGUGGGGAAUAUUGCACAGUGGGCGGGAGCCUGAGGCAGCAACGCCGCGUGCGGGAUGACGGCCUUCGGGUUGUGAACCGCUUUCGCCUGUGACGAAGCGUGAGUGACGGUAAUGGGUAAAGAAGCACCGGCUAACUACGUG
rnacentral:rRNA from 1 species